CCAUUAAGAGGAAAUGACGGCCUGUGGGACUCGGCCGGUCGUGUUAGGUCUGCAAGUGGCCUCGGAACGUGUACAGGGUCGAUAUCUGCGCGAUUUCCGCUACAAAAAACGACAAACUUUCGAGUAAAUUUGUAUUACUCUGUAUUUGAAGACGUGACUGCAUCUGAUUUGCCUCUAGACGGUAAGCCGUGUCUUGAUGUUGUUAUUGAUACAAAGGGCGAAAAAGGAAUCAUGUAGCCAACCACAUAAUGAGACAGAGGCUUGAUGUUGUUAUUGUUGUUGUUGCAAACUCAUAGAAUGAAGCUCAAACUAGAGCUCAGUUAAUUAAUCAAGCUCAAGCGAGGAAUAACUCAAGAUCGGCAUGACUCGUUUGCACAUUUAAUUAAACCUAUCUUAAAAUGUCAAAACUAUCAUUUGCUUAAAGCGGCUUUUUAAGAAGCAUUAAAAAAACCGUCCCAAACAAAGCCUAAAUUUAUAUUAGAUGUAACUAUUCCAACAACUGUGAUUUGAUUUGCAUCCAUGGGCACAGAGUUAUCCUAACAUCACUGUAUAUUCUGCUUUGAAUUUAGUUUAUUGGUCAAGACAUAAGACCUCCCAGGCUGCCACUAAUAUAAAAAUCAAGAAGGGAUCAAUAUACCCUACUUCAGCUUCGUUUGGGGCGGCUUUCUUGCUGCUUCUUAAAGCAGUUUUUUUUUAUUUUUAAACAAGAAAGCUGCUUUAAGAAGUAACAAGAAAGUUGUCCUAAACGAAACCUUCAUCCCUGCAUCAUAUAUAAGUUUGUUCAAAAGGAUGAGAUUGGAGACAUAAAUAUGCGACACUUUUAGCUAUUAGGG